AAUUUGUACUAUUUUAAUCUCAUUGUUAUUCGACUCAUUAUAGAUUUCAUUAUAUAGAUUAUUGUUAUUAAGAGGAGGACGUAUAUUAAAUUGAAUUGGUUUGUUACAAUGUUUGAGAGAUGCUUUGCUUUUCUAGAAGUGAAACUGGAAAUAUCCUUGCGUUUAAAGAAAGAAAAAGAAAGAACAACUAUCCUUACUUAAUUAAUCAUUACUUCCAUCCGCUAAUGCACAGUUUUAAGUUUAUUUUGAAUAUUAAAACUAAAGAAAAUGAAAUCAAAAAACUCAGGGAAUUUCCGUUUGAGAAACAAAAACUAUGAUUGUAUUAUCGCUGAAAUAAGCAAAACCAAAACGUAAAUUCGAAUACACGAAUGGAAAGCGCGAGGAAAGGACUACAUUUAUUUUUAUGAUUGACGAUAUAUCAGCGAGUUUAAAUUUUCAAAAAGAACCAAGUAGAUUAAAGAAUUGUUUGGCAAAGUGUAGGAAAACUGUAAAUUUAUAAAAUAUAAAAUUGUAUAAACUUUAGUGCACAAUAAUCUUCGAUCAAUAGUAUCUCGUUUCAAAUAUAUCUCCCUCCUUUGCAUGAUUUACAUGUAUGCAAUGCGAUUUAUAACUGUACGUAAGUAUAAACAUUAUAUUUCAGUGCCUUCUCAGGCAAAAAAGCGUGCCUUAUUAUAUGGGUCUCUGGUAAAGAAUUUCAUUGGAAUAUAUGAGUGAAUACGACGAGCAUUUAGCGUUAACGGAUCUUUGGACGAAAUUAAUUAUGCUUAAAGCAUUGCAAAUUAAUACUGAAUGUGUUUUAAGAAACUAGAGAUAAACAUCGAUUACUAGGCUUCAAUAAUUCCUUGAUAAUUGAAAGAUAUAUAAGACAUCAACGGAAAAGACAGAUAUGUAAGAAAGCGUGAAAAAUUUCAACGAUCAAUCCAAUUGUUUAUCUUGAGAAUUUUGAACAGAUAUGACGCCGAAUU